rnacentral:tRNA from 1 species
GCCUGGGUGGCUCAGUUGGUUAAGCAUCUGACUUUAACGCAGGUCAUGAUCUCACAGUUCAUGGGUUCAAGCCCCACAUCAGGCU